GGGCCCGUAGCUCAGUGGUAGAGCAACUGACUUUUAAUCAGUGGGUCGCUGGUUCGAUCCCAGCCGGGCUCACCA
rnacentral:tRNA from 1 species